rnacentral:rRNA from 1 species
AUUGAACGCUGGCGGCAUGCUUUACACAUGCAAGUCGAACGGCAGCACGGGUGCUUGCACCUGGUGGCGAGUGGCGGACGGGUGAGUAAUACAUCGGAACGUGUCCAGAAGAGGGGGAUAACGCAUCGAAAGAUGUGCUAAUACCGCAUAUGCUCUGAGGAGGAAAGUGGGGGAUCGAAAGACCUUACGCUUUUGGAGCGGCCGAUGUCUGAUUAGCUAGUUGGUGGGGUAAGGGCCUACCAAGGCGACGAUCAGUAGCUGGUCUGAGAGGAUGGCCAGCCACACUGGAACUGAGACACGGUCCAGACUCCUACGGGAGGCAGCAGUGGGGAAUAUUGGACAAUGGGGGGCAACCCUGAUCCAGCCAUGCCGCGUGUGUGAAGAAGGCCUCGGUUGUAAG